rnacentral:lncRNA from 1 species
AUGGAGGUUUGAUUUGGCCACGAGUGCCACGUCAGAAUACAGGCCGCCAUGGUGCACUGCAUGAGAAGCGCGACCAUGUAACAACCAUGGGCAUUAGCUGGGUAUUGAAAACAAACGCAAGAUUCAGCAUUUUUUUUCCCCAGAGUUAGAAAAGAAUUCACAUAGCAAAUGUCAAAAAAUAAAUAGCAAAUGUAAUAGUUUUCUCAAACAUUCAUUAUAUAUUUACAUAAAAAUAUCUGAUCUCCACU